rnacentral:tRNA from 1 species
UCCCUGGUGGUCCAGUGGGUCAGACUCUGCACUUCCACUACAGGGGGCCCAAGUUCAAUCCCUGGCUGGGGAA